rnacentral:piRNA from 1 species
CAUGUGGGCAUGGGCUACGGCUCCAUCUGCAU